UAAUACGUAGNUCCCGAGCGUUGUCCGGAUUUAUUGGGCGUAAAGCGAGCGCAGGCGGUUAGAUAAGUNUGAAGUUAAAGGCUGUGGCUUAACCAUAGUAUGCUUUGGAAACUGUUUAACUUGAGUGCAGAAGGGGAGAGUGGAAUUCCAUGUGUAGCGGUGAAAUGCGUAGAUAUAUGGAGGANCACCGGUGGCGAAAGCGGCUCUCUGGUCUGUAACUGACGCUGAGGCUCGAAAGCGUGGNGAGCAAACAGGAUUAGAUACCCUGGUAGUNCACGCCGUAAACGAUGAGUGCUAGGUGUUAGGCCCUUUCCGGGGCUUAGUGCCGCAGCUAACGCAUUAAGCACUCCGCCUGGGGAGUACGACCGCAAGGUUGAAACUCAAAGGAAUUGACGGGGGCCCGCACAAGCGGUGGAGCAUGUGGUUUAAUUCGAAGCAACGCGAAGAACCUUACCAGGUCUUGACAUCCCUCUGACCGCUCUAGAGAUAGAGUUUUCCUUCGGGACAGAGGUGACAGGUGGUGCAUGGUUGUCGUCAGCUCGUGUCGUGAGAUGUUGGGUUAAGUCCCGCAACGAGCGCAACCCCUAUUGUUAGUUGCCAUCAUUCAGUUGGGCACUCUAGCGAGACUGCCGGUAAUAAACCGGAGGAAGGUGGGGAUGACGUCAAAUCAUCAUGCCCCUUAUGACCUGGGCUACACACGUGCUACAAUGGCUGGUACAACGAGUCGCAAGCCGGUGACGGCAAGCUAAUCUCUGAAAGCCAGUCUCAGUUCGGAUUGUAGGCUGCAACUCGCCUACAUGAAGUCGGAAUCGCUAGUAAUCGCGGAUCAGCACGCCGCGGUGAAUACGUUCCCGGGCCUUGUACACACCGCCCGUCACACCACGAGAGUUUGUAACACCCGAAGUCGGUGAGGUAACCGUAAGGAGCCAGNCGCC
rnacentral:rRNA from 1 species